GCUACCACAUCCAGGAAGGCAGCAGGCGCGCAAAUUACCCAAUCCCAAUUCGGGGAGGUAGUGACAAUAAAUACUGAUACGGGGCUCUUUCGGGUCUCGUAAUUGGAAUGAGUACAAUCUAAAUCCCUUAACGAGGAACAAUUGGAGGGCAAGUCUGGUGCCAGCAGCCGCGGUAAUUCCAGCUCCAAUAGCGUAUAUUAAAGUUGUUGCCGUUAAAAAGCUCGUAGUUGAACCUUGGACCUGGCUGAUCUGUCCUCCUAAUCGAGCGCACGGAUUCGGUCGGGUCUUUCCUUCUGGGGAGCCCUAUGCCCUUCACUGGGUGUAGUGGGGAACCAGGACUUUUACCCUGAAAAAAUUAGAGUGUUCAAAGCAGGCCUUUGCUCGAAUACAUUAGCAUGGAAUAAUAGAAUAGGACAUCGGUUCUAUUUUGUUGGUUUCUAGGACCGCUGUAAUGAUUAAUAGGGAUAGUCGGGGGCGUCAGUAUUCAAUUGUCAGAGGUGAAAUUCUUGGAUUUAUUGAAGACUAACUACUGCGAAAGCAUUCGCCAAGGAUGUUUUCAUUAAUCAGUGAACGAAAGUUAGGGGAUCGAAGACGAUCAGAUACCGUCGUAGUCUUAACCAUAAACUAUGCCGACUAGGGAUCGGACGGUGGUUUUUUUAUGCCCCGUU
rnacentral:rRNA from 1 species